UUCUAGCCUGGUUGUGGGACCCUGCACAGGGUCAGGCCUUGCUGACUGGAACCUCCCUAAGUAAAGUGUUACCUGAUAAGAUUCUCCGUGUUCUCUGGACAGAUGCUGCAAUGUUAAUCCCCUUCUUAUGGAUAGUAAGGACGGUUUAACUGGAGUUCUUCUGAAAGGAGCAUUUCUCUUUUGAAAGAAAGCUCCAGCUUCGGGGCCUGGUGAGUGCAGCAAUGCAGUGGCCAGGUGCCUGGAGGCCGCAGGCCUGGGCUAUGACUGCUGGUCCUAAUUUCAGCCCUGACUCCUGCACUGGUUGGUAAGCUCAGAAGGAAACAGUCUCCAGCAGAGAGCUCCCCAAGUACAACAUCCACCCCUGGAAAGGAGGAGCAUCUUCAUCUGAGCCUCAGCCCCCAACUGUGGCUUCAUAGGAACAUUUCCUCAGAGCAUUUGAAAACCAGACACUGUGAGUGAGAGCUUGGAGGGAAGCUCAAGUCUAUGCCUUCCUCUCUUAAAGGGACACAGUCCGAGAAUGAAGUUGUACAAGGAGAAUUCUGAGAGCUCGAGAGAAAACUCCAAGAAAACAAGAAGGGUCUUGUGACCUCAGUUUCUUCAAAGCACAGAAUUGUUCUGGGAAUGUGGUUUGAGCUCCUCCCCUGCCGCAGACAGUCCUGAGCUUUUUUCAGACCAUCCCUUGUUCCAGCUGGCUGCUGCUAUCAGUUUAAUGACUCUAAGGAAAACAUUUUAUCACAUGUGACCCAACUGACACUAUUCAGCUGACCCCUGUAUUUGUAUGCUUUACUCAGGUGACUCAUUGUAACUCUCACAGUAAAUUGUGUAGUGCUCUGAAUAAAGUUGGCUCUUGCAUAAGA